UACGUAGGGUGCAAGCGUUAAUCGGAAUUACUGGGCGUAAAGCGCGUGUAGGCGGCUUGGCAAGUCGGGUGUGAAAUCCCUCAGCUUAACUGAGGAAGUGCGCCCGAAACUGCUUUGCUUGAGUGCCGGAGAGGAUGGCGGAAUUCCCCAAGUAGAGGUGAAAUUCGUAGAUAUGGGGAGGAACACCGGUGGCGAAGGCGGCCAUCUGGACGGUAACUGACGCUGAGACGCGAAAGCGUGGGUAGCAAACAGG
rnacentral:rRNA from 1 species